CGGGGGGUGCAAGCGUUAUCCGGAUUCACUGGGUUUAAAGGGUGCGUAGGUGGGUUGGUAAGUCAGUGGUGAAAUCCCCGAGCUUAACUUGGGAACUGCCAUUGAUACUAUUAAUCUUGAAUACCGUGGAGGUCAGCGGAAUAUGUCAUGUAGCGGUGAAAUGCUUAGAUAUGACAUAGAACACCAAUUGCGAAGGCAGCUGGCUACGCGAAUAUUGACACUGAUGCACGAAAGCGUGGGGAUCAAACAGGAUUAGAUACCCUGGUAGUCCACGCCCUAAACUAUGGAUACUCGACAUCAGCGAUACACUGUUGGUGUCUGAGCGAAAGCAUUAAGUAUCCCACCUGGGAAGUACGAUCGCAAGAUUG
rnacentral:rRNA from 1 species